AAACGAACAAGGAUUCCCCUAGUAGCGGCGAGCGAAGCGGGAAAAGCUCAAAUUUGUAAUCUGGCGUCUACGACGUCCGAGUUGUAAUCUCGAGAAGUGUUUUCCGUGAUAGACCGCAUACAAGUCUCUUGGAACAGAGCGUCAUAGUGGUGAGAACCCAGUACACGAUGCGGAUGCCUAUUACUUUGUGAUACACUUUCGAAGAGUCGAGUUGUUUGGGAAUGCAGCUCAAAUUGGGUGGUAAAUUCCAUCUAAAGCUAAAUAUUGGCGAGAGACCGAUAGCGAACAAGUACCGUGAGGGAAAGAUGAAAAGCACUUUGGAAAGAGAGUUAACAGUACGUGAAAUUGUUGGAAGGGAAACACAUGCAGCCAGACUUGCUAUUCGGGGCAACUCGAUUGGCAGGCCCGCAUCAGUUUUUCGGGGCGGAAAAGCAUAGGGAGAAGGUAGCAAUUUCGGUUGUGUUAUAGCUCUUUAUUGGAUUCGCCCUGGGGGACUGAGGAACGCAGCGUGCUUUUAGCAUAAGCUUCGGCUUAUCCACGCUUAGGAUGCGGGUAUAAUGGCUGUAUAUAAAC
rnacentral:rRNA from 1 species